GCAGUUGUUGGUGAUGGUGCUGGUGAUGGUUGUUGUUGAUAUUGAAGCUGCUGCUGCUCUAAUGACGGUAUUUCUAGCAACAUACGUAAUCAUACACGACAUACAAGAUCAUUAAAAUGGAAUGUCAAGUGGAGAAAACUAAGCAAUUUUGACACCAUUUGCUUUUUGUAUUUAAUUGAGGUGUUAAGGCUGCUGAAGCUGCUCGUGAGAUUUAUGCUGUGUAUAGAGAAGGCGCAAUGCCUCAAAGUACCUACCGCCGUUGGUUUUAGCACUUCAGAAAUGGGAAUUUUGACCUUAAGGAUGGAUCACACUCUGGCCGACCAAUUGAGUUGGAUGAAGAGUAAUUGAAUCAACUUAUUCACAAAAAUCCACAUUAAAUGACCAAAUAAUUGGCAGAGCAGAUGGAUUGUGAUCAGAAAACUAGCAUGGUUUCUAUGGCUGGAUGCCCUUCUUAAUGUCAACCAUUUUGCAGAGUUUGCAGGGUGCUUUCACAUUGGCACCACAUGAGUGCUGUAAUGUGGCACUGGCAUGAAUGCUUUUUAUGUGGCAUCAGCACAGGGCUCUAGCAAGCCAAGCCUCUUCACCAGGAAGAGCAGCCUUAACACUUCUACUGUGGAGUAUGUAUCUUCUUAAGUACAGCAAUGCACCAGGAAGACCCUGUUGUGCCAGGAAUCUCUGUUCCCCAUUAGCAUUAGUAGAUCCUUAUUUUCAUGCUAUAUGUUUCUCUGCCAAUAACAUUACUGUCACUGAGUGGUCUUCAUCCCCUAUUAAAGCAUGGAAGUCUCUAAAAUAUAACAUUUGACAUGAGCUGUUGUUCAGCAUGAUGACAGUGGCCAGGAAAACCUAACCUGCACUGUGGAACAAUGUUGUCAAUAUUACUAAAUUUUGACCACACUGUAGAGCAAAUGAUCUUGUUUUAUAUAAUGGACACUGUUAAUAUUUGUAAUGAUCAUAUAUUAUAGUUUAUUGAAUGACUUUUUGAAUACUAUACAUCAUUUCUGUUACUUAAAAAUAAGUUAUUAUUGAUAAUAAAUUUAUUUUCUGAAUGUAUAUGUCACAUAAACCAUCUUUGGAACUUGAUCUACUAAGCUCUAAGAUUAUCAUAUUCCUUUAUCAAGUAUGUGAUUGAGGUGGGUCCAAUGAAGAUUUUGUAAGUCCAUGAUGACUUGGCAGAUUUAUAAAUUAGGAAUCCCUGAUUUCCCAUCACAUACUGGAGCUUUUAAUUUGCUUGUUGAUGAUUAAAAUUGUGAAAUGUUUUACAAACAGAAUUCUGACAAAUUAAAAUUUAAAAAAUUUUUUUUAAAUUGGUAAGCACUUUUAUAGAAGUAACAAUAUGCUUAAUAAUUUAAGUUCAAUACUUUUCCAACUCUAUAAACACCUCAGAUCCAAACUUUGCCAUAUUUAUUGUGGCUUUCAUUGGUAACUAAUUGUUUUUGGUAAUGAAGAUAUUGUGUCAAUGUAUGUAACAAUACUUUCUAUAAAACCUUUGUAUAAAGCAAACCAAAUGAAACUAUCCCAAUCAAUACCCUAUUAUGCAGAAUAUAUAUCCAAUAAUAACAAUAAUAAUAAUAAUAUCUUUCUCCACUUGUUAUUCUACUUAACUAUUGUUUGCUUCAAUAACUGCUCAUGAAGGGACGAAGAACUCUCAAUAAACUCUACUAGUUCUGCAAGUCUUGUUGAGAUUGAUUAAGGUUGAUGAAACAAGUUAACCGUAAUCAACCAAAACAAACAUUCGACACAAAACUAAUGUGAAAACAUAUUUACAUGUUUAAAACAUAUUUAUUCUUACUACAGGUUAAUAUUGUGGGGCCACAUGGCUUAGUGGUUAGGGCACGGCACCCUUGGUUGUAAGAUUGUGGAUUUGAUUCCUGGUUUAGGCAAUGUGUUGUUCUUGGACAAAGCACUUCAUUUCAUAUUGCUCUGGUCCACUCAGCUGGCAAAAAAUGAAUAAUCCUGGUGUCUCAUCCAGGUGGGGAAUGAAUACACCACAGAAUCCUGGAAACCAGCCUUAUGAGCUUGUACCUUGGGAAGAACCUUUGAACUAUUUUUGUUUUUUGACAGGUUAAUGUUAGCUUAAUUUUUACUGGUUUUAGUCACUAAACUGCAACCAGAUUAGAGCACCACCUUUAAGGUUUUUAGUGAAAUGUAAUGAUCCUCAUUGUUUAUUUUAGUCUGGAAGUUGUUUUAUCAGUCUUUAGUUAUCGAAUCGCUGAAUUUAGUUCUUGACACAAUGGAACACAAAAUGACACACCAGUUUACAUAAAAGCACACACACAAAUGCAUACAAACAUGCAUGAGUGUAGUCAUGGAUUUAUUAUUGUCUUCAUUGCUGUCGAUUUCUUUUUUUUGCUUUUUCGUUACCUGAUAAAGAUUUCAGCCAUGUUGGAUAAGCACGCACACAUACAUGAACAAAUAGAUACAUGCAUGCAUACAUAUAUUUAUACAUAUAUACAUACGUGCAUACAUAUAUGCAUACAUACACAUGUACAACCUCAUGCAUGUUAAUUGAAAUGAACCAAGAGGAUUACUCCAACAUCAGGAGGUGCAGCCAAACAGAAAAAGCCAAAAGAUCCCAUAGAAAAUCUUAAAUGUUCAUGUUUAGAGGGGAAAUUUGACCUUUGUUAUUUGACAAUGUGAUAACAAAUUUCUUAACAUUCCGUCUAUUUAUGAGGCAAGUAUACAUCCACCGUCACAUUUAAUAAAUCAUUCUCUUUUUAAGACAGCAGGAUGUGAUUUGAGGGAGAUUUGUUUGUUAUUUCUAGAAGGUGGAGCGAAUACAAAAAAGAUUCUUCGCUAACUCGUUCUGUCGUGAUAUAUUAACAUCUGGUAAUUCGAUAACAAAACGAUGAAAUUUCACUACAACUUUUCUUUUUCGUGGGUUCGAUAAAUAAGCAGCAACGCUAUUAGUAUAUUCAGAGUGUGUGGGACGGUUUGCUUUGCAUAUACCCUAUACAAAUCAGAUGUUUUAUGUAAACUACAUAUUUGCAGUUCGUUGCGGCCCAAAGUAACUAUCUUUUGAUUUCGGCUUCAAAUAUCGUUUUGUGCGGCAACUUCCUGCGCAUGCGUUUAAGACGGAGUCAGUGUGCAAGAAGGCGAAGCUUUCAAGAAUUUUUUCACAAUGAACGAAAUAAUAUAUUUAUGAAUGUAUAAACAACUAAGAUUUUCAGUAGCCUUGCUUUCCUUUUCUGUCACUAACUGAUUCUAUAAAUUCUAUUGUCACUUUGCAUUAAAUAUACACAUUCAAAAAAAGUUUUGUCUUGAACAUUUCCUAAAAAUAAUGAAGAAUAAGAUUAAAUUAAAAAUCCUCCAACUUUCAGAAAACCCCCCAAAACAAAUUGCAUUUCUUUUACUAUAGCUAUAUUAUGAAACGGGAAGAGGAGCAAAAAUGUAAAAGAAUUAAAUUUUUUGAACAAAAAUUCUUUCAAAGAAAGAAACAAACAUCCAGUUCCUUGUCCUUUUUCAUGAGGAAGUGAUGGUUAUUCCGAAAGUUCGCUCAUCAAAGAUUACAAUUGUCUCGUGAGUAAAAAUUUAUCAAAAUAAAAGAGUGGAGUGCAAGGGUGGGGAUUUUACAAAUAUAAGGAAAACUAUUCAAAGAAAUUUAUAAAUGAAACUACAUCGAAAAAGAAUCAGAUUAAGAUCCUGUUAUAUUUAAUUAUGUGGUUGCACAAAUAAAUUGUGAAAAUAAGCAUUUAAAAAAAGAGGCGAUGCCGACUCACUUCAGAUUCUUGCAACACUUUUAACUUCAUGCAAAAUUGACUAUGCUAUGUGUUGUUGACACAGCUUGUGUCAAACUGAACAUAGCCUUGCCCACUGAGAGAUAUUGACUGUUACAGCGAAAAUGAGAACGGCAAUCAGCAUCAGACACUAUCACCUAGCUACAGAGAACGUGUUACGUUGUUGUUCAUUUAGGUAGACAUUUUUACACAAUGGGGUUACUGUCUGUUCUUAAUCUAUUUCACAUUUUCUCAACUAUUUAUAAACACAGUCUACCGUCACCCAAAUUGGUGUUCACGUUAACUGUAUAAUGCGUAGCAUGCCUGUUUGUUCUUUACGCAUAGUAACAUCACUGGUAUUAUACAUUGGAUCAAAUCAUUCAACUGUCUCCACUUCUUUAUAAAGGAAACAUACAUUUAUCUCAAGCCAACGAGACAACAUCGACGUAGUCGCUCAAUCUGUUAGAAAUAGCAAUCAAAUCUCCUUCCAAAUCAUUGCCUUUGAGAAAAAAGUGUUAUAUUAAAUGUAAUUCUAGAAAAAGAUGGGUGGAAUGAUGAGAAUAUUGCUUUUAAUCAUAGGCCUUUUCGAUCAAAAUUGACAUGGCUUUACAUAACUAUUUCUAA